AGUGAACGCUGGCGGUAUGCCUAAUACAUGCAAGUCGAACGGCAGCACAGUAAGAUUGUGCUCUUACUGUUGGCGGGUGGCGGACGGGUGAGGAAUGCAUCGGAUUCUUCUUUUUCUUGGAUGAUAACGUAAGGCAACUGAUACUAAUACCUCAUACUACCUACGGCAUAAUGCAAGAGUGCUUGACACCUUUCCCGUCUGAAUUAGCCGACGUCGCAUUAGCUAGUUGGGUAGGUAAAGGCACACCAAGGCGACGAUCCGUAGCUGAUCUGAGAGGAUGAUCAGCCACACUGGAACUGAGACACGGUCCAGACUCCUACGGGAGGCAGCAGUGGGGAAUAUUGGACAAUGGGCGCAAGCCUGAUGCAGCCAUACCGCGUGAGUGAUGAAGGUCUUCGGAUCGUAAAGCCCUUUUGUUGGGAAAGAACAGCAGCGGAUUAAUCCGCGGAUGUUCUGACGGUACCUAAUGAAUAAGCACCGGCUAACUUCGUG
rnacentral:rRNA from 1 species